UACGUAGGGGGCAAGCGUUGUCCGGAAUCAUUGGGCGUAAAGAGCGUGUAGGCGGUUCGGUAAGUCGGCUGUGAAAGUCCAGGGCUCAACCCUGGGAUGCCGGUCGAUACUGCCGGACUAGAGUUCGGAAGUGGCGAGUGGAAUUCCCGGUGUAGCGGUGAAAUGCGCAGAUAUCGGGAGGAACACCUAUGGCGAAGGCAGCUCGCUGGGACGUUACUGACGCUGAGACGCGAAAGCGUGGGGAGCAAACAGG
rnacentral:rRNA from 1 species